AUGCCUUAAACUUAUGAGUAAGGAAAAUAAUGACUUGGGGUGACGUCCAGAUGCUUAUUACUAAUGUGAGAUGAAUUUUUGAACCAGUAAAGGUGGCCCCUAAGGUGACCCACCUACUUUGCAGGAUGCCUGGGAAUCGUGAUCUGCCAG
rnacentral:snRNA from 1 species